CCCUUAGAUGUUCUGGGCCGCACGCGCGCUACACUGACGAAUGCAACGAGCUUAUAACCUUGUCCGAAAGGUCUGGGUAAUCUCCAAAUUUCGUCGUGAUGGGGAUAGAUUAUUGCAAUUAUUAAUCUUCAACGAGGAAUGCCUAGUAAGCGCAAGUCAUCAGCUUGCGUUGAUUACGUCCCUGCCCUUUGUACACACCGCCCGUCGCUCCUACCGAUUGAAUGGUCCGGUGAAGCGUUCGGACCGUGGCCUUUGGACGGUUCGCCGUCUGUUGGCUGCGGGAAGUUCGUUAAACCUUAUCAUUUAGAGGAAGGUGAAGUCGUAACA
rnacentral:rRNA from 1 species